ACGACCAGGGCUACACACGUGCUACAAUGGCGCAUACAAAGAGAAGCGACCUCGCGAGAGCAAGCGGACCUCAUAAAGUGCGUCGUAGUCCGGAUUGGAGUCUGCAACUCGACUCCAUGAAGUCGGAUGGCGCUGCGUACCCAUGAAAUACCUUAC
rnacentral:rRNA from 1 species